rnacentral:rRNA from 1 species
GACGAACGCUGGCGGCGUGCCUAAUACAUGCAAGUCGAACGGAGCGGCGGACGGGUGAGUAAUGCCUAGGAAUCUGCCUGGUAGUGGGGGAUAACGUCCGGAAACGGGCGCUAAUACCGCAUACUAUCAGAUGAGCCUAGGUCGGAUUAGCUAGUUGGUGGGGUAAAGGCCUACCAAGGCGACGAUCCGUAACUGGUCUGAGAGGAUGAUCAGUCACACCGGGACCUGAAAAAGGUCCCGGAUCCUAACGGAGGGCGCCGGGGGGAAUUUUGGAAAAUGGGGGAAAGCCCGAUCCCGCCAUGCCGCGGGUUGGAAGGAGGUCCUCGGAUUGUAAAGGCAUUUAAGGUUGGGAGCGUUACCAACAGAAUAAGCACCGGCUAACUUCGUGCCAGCAGCCGCGGUAAUUC